UACGAGGGGGGCGAGCGUUGUCCGGAAUUAUUGGGCGUAAAGGGCGCGUAGGCGGUCGGAUAAGUCUUGUGUGAAAUCUUCGGGCUCAACUCGAAGUCUGCACAGGAAACUAUCUGGCUUGAGUGUGGGAGAGGUGAGUGGAAUUCCUGGUGUAGCGGUGAAAUGCGUAGAUAUGACAUAGAACACCAAUUGCGAAGGCAGCUUACUACACAACGAUUGACGCUGAGGCACGAAAGCGUGGGGAUCAAACAGG
rnacentral:rRNA from 1 species